UACGUAGGUCCCGAGCGUUGCCCGGAUUUAUUGGGCGUAAAGCGAGCGCAGGUGGUUUAUUAAGUCUGGUGUAAAAGACAGUGGCUCAACCAUUGUAUGCAUUGGAAACUGGUAGACUUGAGUGCAGGAGAGGAGAGUGGAAUUCCAUGUGUAGCGGUGAAAUGCGUAGAUAUAUGGAGGAACACCGGUGGCGAAAGCGGCUCUCUGGCCUGUAACUGACACUGAGGCUCGAAAGCGUGGGGAGCAAACAGG
rnacentral:rRNA from 1 species